rnacentral:rRNA from 1 species
UACGUAGGGGGCAAGCGUUGUCCGGAUUUAUUGGGCGUAAAGAGCGUGUAGGCGGUUAUGCAGGUCCGCUGUGAAAACUGGAGGCUUAACCUCCAGACGUCGGUGGAAACCGUAUAACUAGAGUCCGGAAGAGGAGAGUGGAAUUCCUGAUGUAGCGGUGAAAUGCGCAGAUAUCAGGAAGAACACCCGUGGCGAAGGCGGCUCUCUGGGACGGUACUGACGCUGAGACGCGAAAGCGUGGGGAGCGAACAGG